rnacentral:rRNA from 1 species
ACUAAGCGUACACGGUGGAUGCCCUGGCAGUCAGAGGCGAUGAAGGACGUGCUAAUCUGCGAUAAGCGUCGGUAAGGUGAUAUGAACCGUUAUAACCGGCGAUUUCCGAAUGGGGAAACCCAGUGUGAUUCGUCACACUAUCAUUAACUGAAUCCAUAGGUUAAUGAGGCGAACCGGGGGAACUGAAACAUCUAAGUACCCCGAGGAAAAGAAAUCAACCGAGAUUCCCCCAGUAGCGGCGAGCGAACGGGGAGCAGCCCAGAGCCUGAAUCAGUGUGUGUGUUAGUGGAAGCGUCUGGAAAGGCGUGCGAUACAGGGUGACAGCCCCGUACACAAAAAUGCACAUGCUGUGAGCUCGAUGAGUAGGGCGGGACACGUGGUAUCCUGUCUGAAUAUGGGGGACCAUCCUCCAAGGCUAAAUACUCCUGACUGACCGAUAGUGAACCAGUACCGUGAGGGAAAGGCGAAAAGAACCCCGGCGAGGGGAGUGAAAAAGAACCUGAAACCGUGUACGUACAAGCAGUGGGAGCACGCUUAGGCGUGUGACUGCGUACCUUUUGUAUAAUGGGUCAGCGACUUAUAUUCUGUAGCAAGGUUAACCGAAUAGGGGAGCCGAAGGGAAACCGAGUCUUAACUGGGCGUUAAGUUGCAGGGUAUAGACCCGAAACCCGGUGAUCUAGCCAUGGGCAGGUUGAAGGUUGGGUAACACUAACUGGAGGACCGAACCGACUAAUGUUGAAAAAUUAGCGGAUGACUUGUGGCUGGGGGUGAAAGGCCAAUCAAACCGGGAGAUAGCUGGUUCUCCCCGAAAGCUAUUUAGGUAGCGCCUCGUGAAUUCAUCUCCGGGGGUAGAGCACUGUUUCGGCAAGGGGGUCAUCCCGACUUACCAACCCGAUGCAAACUGCGAAUACCGGAGAAUGUUAUCACGGGAGACACACGGCGGGUGCUAACGUCCGUCGUGAAGAGGGAAACAACCCAGACCGCCAGCUAAGGUCCCAAAGUCAUGGUUAAGUGGGAAACGAUGUGGGAAGGCCCAGACAGCCAGGAUGUUGGCUUAGAAGCAGCCAUCAUUUAAAGAAAGCGUAAUAGCUCACUGGUCGAGUCGGCCUGCGCGGAAGAUGUAACGGGGCUAAACCAUGCACCGAAGCUGCGGCAGCGACGCUGAUGCGUUGUUGGGUAGGGGAGCGUUCUGUAAGCCUGCGAAGGUGUGCUGUGAGGCAUGCUGGAGGUAUCAGAAGUGCGAAUGCUGACAUAAGUAACGAUAAAGCGGGUGAAAAGCCCGCUCGCCGGAAGACCAAGGGUUCCUGUCCAACGUUAAUCGGGGCAGGGUGAGUCGACCCCUAAGGCGAGGCCGAAAGGCGUAGUCGAUGGGAAACAGGUUAAUAUUCCUGUACUUGGUGUUACUGCGAAGGGGGGACGGAGAAGGUUAUGUUGGCCGGGCGACGGUUGUCCCGGUUUAAGCGUGUAGGCUGGUUUUCCAGGCAAAUCCGGAAAAUCAAGGCUGAGGCGUGAUGACGAGGCACUACGGUGCUGAAGCAACAAAUGCCCUGCUUCCAGGAAAAGCCUCUAAGCAUCAGGUAACAUCAAAUCGUACCCCAAACCGACACAGGUGGUCAGGUAGAGAAUACCAAGGCGCUUGAGAGAACUCGGGUGAAGGAACUAGGCAAAAUGGUGCCGUAACUUCGGGAGAAGGCACGCUGAUAUGUAGGUGAAGCGACUUGCUCGUGGAGCUGAAAUCAGUCGAAGAUACCAGCUGGCUGCAACUGUUUAUUAAAAACACAGCACUGUGCAAACACGAAAGUGGACGUAUACGGUGUGACGCCUGCCCGGUGCCGGAAGGUUAAUUGAUGGGGUCAGCGCAAGCGAAGCUCUUGAUCGAAGCCCCGGUAAACGGCGGCCGUAACUAUAACGGUCCUAAGGUAGCGAAAUUCCUUGUCGGGUAAGUUCCGACCUGCACGAAUGGCGUAAUGAUGGCCAGGCUGUCUCCACCCGAGACUCAGUGAAAUUGAACUCGCUGUGAAGAUGCAGUGUACCCGCGGCAAGACGGAAAGACCCCGUGAACCUUUACUAUAGCUUGACACUGAACAUUGAGCCUUGAUGUGUAGGAUAGGUGGGAGGCUUUGAAGUGUGGACGCCAGUCUGCAUGGAGCCGACCUUGAAAUACCACCCUUUAAUGUUUGAUGUUCUAACGUGGACCCGUGAUCCGGGUUGCGGACAGUGUCUGGUGGGUAGUUUGACUGGGGCGGUCUCCUCCUAAAGAGUAACGGAGGAGCACGAAGGUUGGCUAAUCCUGGUCGGACAUCAGGAGGUUAGUGCAAUGGCAUAAGCCAGCUUGACUGCGAGCGUGACGGCGCGAGCAGGUGCGAAAGCAGGUCAUAGUGAUCCGGUGGUUCUGAAUGGAAGGGCCAUCGCUCAACGGAUAAAAGGUACUCCGGGGAUAACAGGCUGAUACCGCCCAAGAGUUCAUAUCGACGGCGGUGUUUGGCACCUCGAUGUCGGCUCAUCACAUCCUGGGGCUGAAGUAGGUCCCAAGGGUAUGGCUGUUCGCCAUUUAAAGUGGUACGCGAGCUGGGUUUAGAACGUCGUGAGACAGUUCGGUCCCUAUCUGCCGUGGGCGCUGGAGAACUGAGGGGGGCUGCUCCUAGUACGAGAGGACCGGAGUGGACGCAUCACUGGUGUUCGGGUUGUCAUGCCAAUGGCACUGCCCGGUAGCUAAAUGCGGAAGAGAUAAGUGCUGAAAGCAUCUAAGCACGAAACUUGCCCCGAGAUGAGUUCUCCCUGACUCCUUGAGAGUCCUGAAGGAACGUUGAAGACGACGACGUUGAUAGGCCGGGUGUGUAAGCGCAGCGAUGCGUUGAGCUAACCGGUACUAAUGAACCGUGAGGCUUAACC